rnacentral:rRNA from 1 species
ACAUGCWAGUCGAGCGAACAGAUAAGGAGCUUGCAUCCUUUGACGUUAGCGGCGGACGGCCUGAGUAACACGUGGAUAACCUACCUAUAAGACUGGGAUAACUUCGGGAAACCGGAGCUAAUACCGGAUAACAUAUUGAACCGCAUGGUUCAAUAGUGAAAGGCGGCUUUGCUGUCACUUAUAGAUGGAUCCGCGCCGUAUUAGCUAGUUGGUAAGGURACGGCUUACCAAGGCAACGAUACGUAGCCGACCUGAGAGGGUGAUCGGCCACACUGGAACUGAGACACGGUCCAGACUCCUACGGGAGGCAGCAGUAGGGAAUCUUCCGCAAUGGGCGAAAGCCUGACGGAGCAACGCCGCGUGAGUGAUGAAGGUCUUCGGAUCGUAAAACUCUGUUAUCAGGGAAGAACAAAUGUGUAAGUAACUGUGCACAUCUUGACGGUACCUGAUCAGAAAGCCACGGCUAACUACGUGCCAGCAGCCGCGGUAAUACGUAGGUGGCAAGCGUUAUCCGGAAUUAUUGGGCGUAAAGCGCGCGUAGGCGGUUUUUUAAGUCUGAUGUGAAAGCCCACGGCUCAACCGUGGAGGGUCAUUGGAAACUGGAAAACUUGAGUGCAGAAGAGGAAAGUGGAAUUCCAUGUGUAGCGGUGAAAUGCGCAGAGAUAUGGAGGAACACCAGUGGCGAAGGCGACUUUUCUGGKCUGUACUGACGCUGAUGUGCGAAAGCGUGGGGGAUCAACAGGAUUAGAUACCCUGGKUAGUCCACGCCGUAAACGAUGAGUGCCUAAGUGUUAGGGGGUUUCCGCCCCCUUAGUGCUGCAGCUAACGCAUUAAGGCACUUCCGCCCUGGGGARUACSGACGUGCAWAGGUUGGAWAACUCMAWGCAACUGACGGGGAACCCG